CAAGGAGUCCACAGACCAACUCACAGAGAAAAGCGGGCCAGAGGAAACGCAGCUCGCUCCGCAGGCGACAGCGAACCACUUCGGAACCUGGCUGCUUUUCGCUGAGCUCAUGUACAAAUCCCUUUAAAGGGUACUGCAGCUUGGAUGCCGGCCACGAGCCUCUUUAAGCAGCAUGUGAGACAGCGUGGGGGGCAGGGGACAGUAACACGAGGUGAUUUCUCCCAACCCAUAGCAUCUCGCCCAAGGCCCCUGCUACCUAUCCUGCUGGAAGGAGGUGUCUUUCGCGUGAAGGAAAUCGCGCCGGAGGCGCAUUACAGCUGCCGCUUUAGGGGAGACGUUAGGCGCACGAAGACAUCUCUGGGCACCUCCCCACUCUGCCCCGAGCCCCUGAAAAGCCCGCGGUUGCAGCCAGGAGGACUCCAGCGACGGCGGGCGCCGGGUCCCUAGGGCGGGCGGGAGCCUACUGACCUACCUUCUGCGGGGGAGUCCCAAUCAGCAUCUCCAGGGGAAACAGGGUCACCUUUCCUCCCCAUCCUAGGCAGAGUUAUCUGUCCCUGAGCACCCACCCUCCAUAGGAAUGAAGGAAUCCAGACCUGGGGGAAGAUCUCAGAAAUGACUGUCCCCCAAAUUAACAAGUGAAUGACAACCCUGGACAGAGAACAGGUGGGAUGUAGCCUAACAGCCUCCUGCUCCUGCUGAGGGGCAGAAUCCCAGCCUCUGUGUUUUUCUUUUGCUACCAAAGCAAUAAACCUUCUUUUUCCUUUUA